ensembl:lncRNA
UGAGACAAGGAAACAUGGAAUGACUUUUCAUAGGUUUCCCAGAGACUAUGGGUUGAGGAGGAAGUGGAAGUUUGUCGGCUUAGACCUGGUGUCAUUCCAUCAGUGUUAAACUUCCCGGCUCAUCUUGGAAGAGUACGUGCCAGAAAGACCACGACCAAGCAGCCUUGAGAUCUUAGGCAGCAUCUCCCUGAGGUGGGUGUCGACGGUGUUCACGGCCAGGUCUGUGGUAAUCCCGUCAAAAAACAAAACAGAAAAAACAUCUAGAUUAUAAAUCAACAUGUAACCAAAGCACUCUGUGUAUAACGCCAUAGUAUAGAAUGUAGUUCAGAAAAUGUCAAAGUAUAGUAUGCUUUACUCAAGAAUAACAUAGUAUGGCCUGUAGUUCAUAGUACAGCAUGUUGGCAAGAAAACAAAACAAAACAUAGAUUAUUAUGUGGUUCAAAAAGCGCAAAAUGAUAGGAUGUUGCCUAAAAUUGUCAUGUAUGAUAUGUGGUUCAAAAAAUGUCAUAGUGCAGUAUAUUGUCAAAAAAGUAUGUAAUUCAAGAAGACAGUAUAAUAUGUCGUCUAAAAAAUGCCAUAGAAUAUUUCAUUGCACAAGUAAAAGUAUAGUAACUUUUAAAACUGUUCGAAUUCUUAUAUGUUGCUAAAAAAAACAAAAAAAAACUAAAACAAAAAAAACCCGUCAGUAAUAUGUCAAUUAAAAAAGCCUAUAGUAUAGCAUGUCGCUCUAAAAACGUCACAGUAUAGCCUUUAGUCCACAGCUGUCAGUAGGUGAGGAGCAACACAAAAACAGUUCAAACGCUGGUUUCCAGAGGGUUAGACGAGUAUUUAUUUGAAAGUGUAAGUUUACAACAACACAACAUGUGAGGGGGUUAAAAACAAAUGGGUGUUAGUAAAAUAAAAAUAAAUAAACAGAACUAAAAGUGAACUUCACGUUGACAUUGAUGGGCAUUCCAACCAGGAACAAAGUAAAAGAUAAUCAAUAUGAAAAACAACUCUUCCUGUUCACCUCUUAAAACCCAAAAACACACCGCAGUAGCAUCCUAAACUAAAACUACCAAUGUGUUCCCUGUUUUCCUUUGUGAACAAUUCAAAUGUCCCUCUCUAUCUCCCCACACAUCCACCAACCACUGGAACACAUCUCCAAAGUUCUGCCGGGCCAGCUCAGCUUCCCCUCAGAAGAAGUGACGCCACCUGCCAGAUGAAGGAGCCUUUUGAGAGGCAGCUGGCAUCGUGAUUGGACUGUACUUUGGUCUGUUCCAAUCCAGCUUCAGCUCCAGAGACGGCAGGCGGGACGAGUCAACGGAGGCCAGGUGGACGAAGGCAUGAAGCUGAGUACAAUCUAGAAAACAACAGAGGAGGAGUGCAGCAUCGUAUGUCUCUUAGAAAACAUCAUAGUAUAGCCUUUGGUAUGAAAAAAGGCCAUCAUAUACAUCAUAUAUUGUACAAAUAACAAGUCAAAGCAAAGAGACAUACAUUGUAGAAUUGUAGUAAUUGUGGGCUGACUGAUUUACUGAUUAUCAGUAUUUUAUUUUUUACUGAUUUACGGUAAUAAAUACAUUUAAAAAUGGCGCUACUUUGGCUCUGAACCUUUAUCUACCUGGUCGCUCUGUCUUCUGGAGUGAUUUGAUUGGUUAUACGUAACGAAUAAAACUCCUUUAGCUUAACAGCUGUAAACAAAACAAAAGUGUAUCAACAAAGUUUUCUGUUAGAGUUUGUGUUCUUCUAAGUUUAACUCAAGAUUUUAAAUACUUUCAUUUACUGCAGAUGAAUAUCUACUCCAAAUGUCUCACUAAUAAUCAUUAUCAGCCUUACAAACCCACAGAACACCCCUCUAUGCUUGACCACACUUAGUACAGUCCGGUUCCCCCUUCUAUAAAUCUGCUUGGAAUCGUCCACUUCCUGUUUGUCAAAGUGGCCUUCUACCUGGACAGGUUUUGUUGGAGCUCAUGCAACAAACAUUUUGGGUAACUGCACUUUAACAUGGAUGGAUGACACUGACUUAGAGUCUGUUUUAAUGAGACUGAGUUAAGAUGUGUAGCUCUGUCAUUAAAUAGGAAAUUAUUUCCAAGAAUUCACAGAGAAAAGUCUGAAAUGUUUGCUAGGUUAGCGUCCCACAUGUUCUUUGGCUCAGCUAAAGCUAACUCUCUCCAACUUCUGGAUCUCUUGAGUUGCUUGCUGUUAAAUUCUUUUGCUAGAGGUGCUGAAGCUCAGAAAGUCUGAGAUGUUUGUUCAAAAUAAGCUCAUUCUCAAGUCUUAUCUGAACUGUCCUCUUUUGUUUUAACUUUCCCUAAACUUAGGAGUUAAUGACAGAGCAGCACAUCCAGACUCAGUCUCAUUUAUGUAGAGAUUAAACUUCAGUGUCAUUCAUUGAUGUUAAAGUGCAGUUUUUCAAAAUGUUUGUUGUACAUGCUCAUGACCAAACCAGUCCAGGUGGAAGACAAUGUGAAGAGAAAGCUCCAGAGGAUGAAUAUCACACAUUUACAUUGGAAAUUAAUGUCCUUUAAUUAGACACUGUCAUGCAAAAGUUGGAUUUCCCUUUGUUGAGUGUUUUGUUGAUGUUGGUUUCUAAAUGUUUUCUGACACUCGGCCCCAAAGAUUAAAACCUUCUACGGCUCACAAGCCACAACAAUUCACACAUUAUCAACUAUCUUUCUGACUAAACUAAGAUAAAAAGUGAAAAACUGCCUGAUUCCUGCAUCAUGAAUAUAAAUCUUUUUGGUUUUUAUGACAGUAAACUGAAUAUAUUUGGGUUUGACAUUUUAUAAACCAAAACAAGAAACGAAUUACUGCAGAAAACAAUCAACAGAUUAAUGGACAAAGAAAAUGUGUUUUCCAUUAUAUAUGGCUGAAUUACUCCAACAUUACAAGAUACAUACAAUUUAAAAUCUAUUUUAUUUAUAUAACACCAGUUACAG